rnacentral:rRNA from 1 species
GUGAGGAAUAUUGCGCAAUGGAGGCAACUCUGACGCAGCCAUGCCGCGUACAGGAAGAAGGCGCUACGCGUUGUAAACUGCUUUUAACCGGGAAGAAACCCCAGGACGUGUCCUGGGUUGACGGUACCGGAGGAAUAAGCUCCGGCUAACUUCGUGCCAGCAGCCGCGGUAAUACGAAGGGUGCAAGCGUUAUCCGGAUUCAUUGGGUUUAAAGGGUGCGUAGGCGGAGCGUUAAGUCAGUGGUGAAAUCCUGCAGCUUAACUGUAGACUUGCCAUUGAUACUGGCGCUCUUGAGUGCGCUUGAAGUGGGCGGAAUGUGCCGUGUAGCGGUGAAAUGCUUAGAUAUGGCACAGAACACCAAUUGCGAAGGCAGCUCACUAAGGCGAUACUGACGCUGAGGCACGAAAGCGUGGGGAUCGAACAGGAUUAGAAACCCCAGUAGUCC